rnacentral:lncRNA from 1 species
UCUAGUUUCCUCGCCUAGGAAGCAGUGAUAACAGGAUUGCUGUGAGUACCAAAUAAACCAAGGAACCCUAAAGGGCCUGGGACUACCUGAGGUAGCCCAGACAGAAGGGCUUCCCACUAGCCAUGCUCCUGGGGGCCUUCCCAGGGCCUCAAGGCCUCUCUGGUCGGAGUCAUGGGGAGAGUAAAAGAUGAUGCAUGAAUAACAGAUGUCACAUGCUGGCUGGAGGGCCACAGGCAAGGGUGUGUCACCCUGUUACGGCAGCAGAGGCAGGAGAGCACUCUGGAGCCCCCCACCCACCCACUGUGACAUCGGCAGCACAGAGCACUUGGAAGGCUCCCCAGUGCCUACAGGACAGAGCCCGGCUGGAUGCUCACAGGCAGGCAGGGCGAGAACCCAUCGGACAGAGCCAGUUCUCAGAGCCAGGGCAUCUUGUCCUCCUCGGGAAUCGUUCCCUCAAGCCCCUCUCAAACUGAAACAAACCCAGUGCCAUUCUACACAAGCUGCUUCUGUCCCCUCCACAUGGGUAGAUGACAGUGACCCAGAGUCCCAAAAUCGUCUGUCCAUGGGUCCUCCUCAUGGGGUAGCACUGUCAUCUUUACGCAUACAAAUGCCCUGCCCAAGGCCCACUAGCGCUUUCCAACACAGUGAAACCUGCCGCAUGUAGUGCAGCUCUUGAAAUUCCUGGGGAGGAUGAAGAAAUGAAGACAAGAGUCAGGAUGCAGAAAGCUGAGGUCAGGUGGAGCACCCCUCUCCUGAUGGGAGCAAGGACCACCCAACAACUGCAUCACAUCUACUUAUAUAGUCAGCAUAAGAGGCUGUUUACAGAAUUUUAAGGAGAGGGUAUGAUCUGAAACAGGAACAACAUCCACCCAACGAAACAGCAUGCCUUGGUGGUUAUACGGGAACAAGAGAGGAGUUGUCUAUAUAAUCUCAGAGGAAGGCCACAUCAUUCUGUGCACCAGCUCCCUGAGCUGUGUACACUGCUCAGGGGACCCUGCCAAACUCAGGAGAAGCAGGGACCUUGUUCGACCUGAGGUACAAACAGCUUCACCCCAGCUCAGCCUGCCUGUGAAAUCUGGAGCUCCUCAAGCACUGAGCUGCAACUGGCCACACCCCGUUUCUGCUGUUUCACACACUUCAGGCUUUGGCGGGGACUUGUCCUCCCUCCCAGAAUGCUCCAAGUACUACAUUGCCUCAUUGCAAGCCAACCCAGCAUCUACUUCUGAUCUAUCAUUUCUGCGGUUAUGUCCGUGGGCCACACUAGAGCAGAGGAUGGUAUGUCUGAAGUGACAUAGUAUAUGUAGCGUCCUGUACCAUGCCUACAACACUGCACAUGCUCAAUAAAGUGUGCCAGGAAGCCAGGUGUGGUGGUGCCGACCUGUAAUCCUAAUACUGAGGGAGGCAGAGGUGGGAGGGUCUCAAGUUCAAGUCCCACUUGGGUAAUUUAGACCCUUUCCCCCCGCAAAAAAAAAAAACUAAAAAAAAAAAAAAGGUCAGGGCUGUAGCUCAGUGGUAGAGUGCCUGGGGUUUUGAUUCCCAGGACCUAAAAAACAAAAACAAAACCAACUAUGCUGAGAACUAGGGAUACAAAAACAAAACAGCAUGCCUUGGUGGUUAUACGGGAACAAGAGAGGAGUUGUCUAUAUAAUCUCAGAGGAGAUUAUAUAGACAAGAGAUUAUACAGACAUUAUAAUCUCAGAGGAGAUUAUAUAGACAAGAGAUUAUAUAGACAUUAUAAUCUCAGAGGAGAUUAUAUAGACAAGAGAUUAUAUAGAGAUUAUAUAGCCUCUAUAUAUUAUAUAGAGAUUAUAUAGCCUCAGGGCUACGCAGGAAGAGCUGAAUCUUACCUCCCUCAGCGGCACAGUACCUGCCUGGCAGCACAAGGAUUUCCAGAACUAAAAAAAAAAUAAAAAAAUUUGAAAAACGAAAACAACAACGACAACAAAAAACCUAUGCUGAAAGAUGAAGGAGAACCACGGAGGAGAAACAAAGAUGCUGGAGCCCUGGAGACAAAUGUUGACAGGGGAUGGCGGCAGAGGAAGUUUCCUGAGGCUUCCUUAUAUGUCAGGGUGGAGCGAUGGCCUUCCGCGCACCAUGAGCGCAUGGAGCAUAGCGUGGGAACACUAGGCCCGGCGGCACUGCUGGGGCAGUAAGGGUCAGGAAAUGAUGAGAAAUAGGCUGGGAUGGGUCGCCAGCCCUGCCUCGUGGCCCUGAACUUUAACCUCUGGGCGACUGAGAGUCACAGAGAACACCCAGGCUGUGUAUCCAAGAGACCGGCAGUGUGCAAAGGGUGAGGCUGGAGUUGGGGGAUGCUGCAGCCAUCCAAGCAGCCACGGGCUGGGACGGGGACACAGGAGAGGAACAGGUUUGGGGGUGAAGAUGCUGUUUGGACUGGCUCUUGCCAAGUUUGCGGUGCUCCGAGCACAGUCUGGUGGAGGACGCCGCAUUGCUCUCUCCCUAGGACAGCAGAGCGAACUGCAAACGUGAAGGACUUCUGGGGAGGUGGCGCUCGGAAAGGGCCAGUGACACAUCCCGGCAAGGCUGGACUCGGAGGGGCUGUGGUGCCCGCGCUCGCGCUCGCUCGUGCGCUGCACUCCGGGGUGCGUGGCCAUCAGGAGGGCGAGGUCCCGCACGCUGGGUGG